GUGCUCACUCCGGCAGCGUGUAUACUAAAAUUGGAAAGAUACGAAAAAGACAGGCAUGGCCCCUGCACAAGGAUGACACACAAGAAGUAUUCCAUAUUUUU
ensembl:snRNA U6 U6 spliceosomal RNA